UCAAGCUCUCAGCUCAUGACCAUUCAGCUAGUUUGAGGUCCGCAAACUUUUUCUUUAAGGGUCUAGGUAGCAAAUAUUUUAGACUUUGCACAAUAAGGGUAUUAUGUAGGUUUUCACAUAGCAAGACAAAAGUCCAAUAAUCUUUUAUUGGUAAAAUUCAAAGUUUAAUAAUAAUUUUUGUGGUAUUUCCAUGCAACAAAACACUAUUCAGCAAUAAAAAGGAAUGAUCUAGCAAUACAUACAACAGGAAUGAAACUCAAAAACAUGUAGAGUGAAAGAGGCCCUACACAAAAGUUAUAUUCUGUGAUUCCAUUUACAUGAAGUUCUAGAAAAUACAAACUUAUCAACAGUAAUAGAAAGCCAAGUUUCUCUUUCUGCAAGGAUACCCUUGUUGUAAAUUACAAGAAGGAAGAAGAGUUCCUCACUAAUGAGCUUUCCAGAAAACUGAUGCAUUUGCAACAGAAGAAAGCCAAACUAGAACAGCAUCUUGAACAGGAGCAGGAAUUCCAGGUCAACAAAGUGAUGAAGAAAAAUUUUAAAACUGGAGAAUGUUACCAUUUCUAAGCAGCUUACAUUAGAGCAAGUUUGUUGGGAAGAUUAACCUUCCAUUCUGCCUUUCCUCAUAUGCAUAUUGAAGGUCUUUCAUCCCUCUAAUGCAGAGUUACGAACUGCAUAGCAAGAAAUAAGUUUAUAUGGUAACCCAGUAUAUGGAUAUAUGUCUAUGACUGCAACAGGUUUCAUGAAGUAAUGCAAACAACAACAACAACAACAAAAACACCUCUUCUGGGGGCACAAGUGAGAACUCAUUGAACUUGGGGAAUCCAGCUGACAUAUUGUGAGGAUAUUCAAGCAGCCCAGUGAAGAGGUCAGUGUGGUUAGAAGACCUAAGACCUAUUUCCAAGAGCCAAUUGCAGAAGAGGAAGUCAAAGUGACACUCCCUGGAUGGCCUUGAAAGUGUACAUUCAUUCUGUGACCUGCCUAUGGGGGCCAUGUGGAAAGGAGCUGACAUGGACCAAUGGAUGAUGACUACAAGGAAAGGGGGAUCUCAGUCAUAUAACCCCAAGGAACCAAAUUCUGCCAACAAGAAGAAUGAGCUUGGAAGAGGAUUUUUCCUAAGGCGUCCUGAUCAGAACAUAAUCUAACUGACAGCUUGAUAUCAGCCUUAUGAUACUCUUAGCAGAGAACCCCACCUUGCUUUGCAAGACUUCUGACAUACAGAACUGUAAGCUAACAAGUAAGUGUUGUUUUAAGCUGCUAAGCUCCUGGUAAUUUAUUAUGCAGCCAAAAAAAUUAUACAAUGACAAAAAUGGGUGUAUAUAAAUCGGUAAACAUGUCAGUCAGUCUAAGUAAACAUCCAUAUAAAAAUAACAGUAUCUAUUUUGAGUGGUCUCCA